GGUGCGAAAGCAGGUCAUAGUGAUCCGGUGGUUCUGAAUGGAAGGGCCAUCGCUCAACGGAUAAAAGGUACUCCGGGGAUAACAGGCUGAUACCGCCCAAGAGUUCAUAUCGACGGCGGUGUUUGGCACCUCGAUGUCGGCUCAUCACAUCCUGGGGCUGAAGUAGGUCCCAAGGGUAUGGCUGUUCGCCAUUUAAAGUGGUACGCGAGCUGGGUUUAGAACGUCGUGAGACAGUUCGGUCCCUAUCUGCCGUGGGCGCUGGAGAACUGAGGGGGGCUGCUCCUAGUACGAGAGGACCGGAGUGGACGCAUCACUGGUGUUCGGGUUGUCAUGCCAAUGGCACUGCCCGGUAGCUAAAUGCGGAAGAGAUAAGUGCUGAAAGCAUCUAAGCACGAAACUUGCCCCGAGAUGAGUUCUCCCUGACUCUUUAA
rnacentral:rRNA from 1 species